rnacentral:rRNA from 1 species
GACGUAGGGCGCGAGCGUUGUCCGGAUUGAUUGGGCGUAAAGAGCUCGUAGGCGGUUUGUCGCGUCGGCCGUGAAAUCUCCACGCUUAACGUGGAGCGUGCGGUCGAUACGGGCAGACUUGAGUUCGGUAGGGGAGACUGGAAUUCCUGGUGUAGCGGUGAAAUGCGCAGAUAUCAGGAGGAACACCGGUGGCGAAGGCGGGUCUCUGGGCCGAUACUGACGCUGAGGAGCGAAAGCGUGGGGAGCGAACAGG